UCAUAAGGGAGAUGCUCCAGGCCCCUCAUCACCUUUGUAGCCCUAAAUCAUAAAAACCCCAUCCACGGCUGCCCAGUGGGUCUGGUGAUUCGUCCAAGUCGGGUGCUGGUCGGGAUGAUCCAGAGGAACUGAACCUUGGGGCUUGGGGAGGAAGAAUGGCUUGGGGAAGAAUGGCUGGAGAGCUGCCUGGCAGAAAAGGACCUGGGGGUGUUGGUCGACUGUCGGCUGAACAGGAGACAGCAGUGUGCCCAGGUGGCCAAGAAGGCC